GAACGUUAUCGUUACACACUGGAUCGGAAAGUUAUGGUGAUCUGCACUGGUUUCAACCCUCUUUAAGUUAAGCUUCAAGUUGGCUUUUGAAAGCAUCGUUGUUUUAGCCUACUUCAUCAACACCAUGAAAAGUGUACUGGAACUUGUGGUCUGCGUGAUUUGUUGAACUAGAAGACCAUGGAAAAAUGGCGGAGAUAUUCCCAAGUCACUUCUGAUUGUGCUGAGAGCUCAACAGUGCCAAACUUUGACAAAUUGACAUUCGCCAGUUGGCCUCAUUCAAUUCCAUUGCUGUCUGCCUAAUAAUGUCAGUGGUAAGUACAGUACCACGACGGGAGUGGUAAGUACAGUAAGUACGACGUUGUUUAAUUAGAUUGGUUAUCAAUGGGAUUUUAAGUUUAUAAUGAUAUUUGCCGAAGCGUUACCUAACGUUAGCGAGACAGCUCACUGACAUUAGUGUUAACGUUAAACAUGCUAUGAGCUAGGACACCAACGUGAUUUUGAUCAAAUACGUUUCAUUCAGCAUGGUAACUAUAUUCAGAUGUGGUGGUUAUCAACGAGUUUGCUAUUACUGUUAUGCAGAUGAACAGUGGAGUAAAUUAAUGUGCUACAUUUGCUUUGAACCUGAUAUAGCUAGAUAGGAGUUUUUGCUCCAACUGCUUUCAGAUAAUUUAUUUCCCUGUAAAUUUGCACUUCUAAAGUCUCACCAGUGCAGGUUUGUGUUCUUGAAUUAAUGUUGAUGGAAUAAUUUGUAUUGCUGUAUCUGCCAAAUAAUUUCUUAAAUGCAUAUGAGCUUUGCAGAUGCCGAGAGAGGCUGAAGUGACAAGAGGACAUUGCCUAUCAUUAGGUCAGUAAUCUUUAUAAGAAGGAUAAAAUGUCCUUUUUACCUUUUGUGGAUAUAUGUCCUUUUUACCUUGUAUGGUUCUGUAGCACCAGUGCUAACAACAAAAGAGUUAACGUACAGCCCUGCCACCCAUUACAAAAUGGGGUAUAUUCAAAUGAUAAUGGCAUGGUAAAUCUGCGGCUGUUAUUGAAUCAUUACGUAGCAAGCAAAGCCCCAUUUCAGGCAGGGAGCUACAGUGAUAUUCCAGGGACUUUGUCCUUAACAGGAUGUGCCAUUGACAGUCACAGAGGGGAACUCACAGGUUUGCUAACACCUACCUCAUUAGUAUUAUAAAUGUUACGCUGAAGUUCUAAUUGUUAGUAGUGAAACCACCUAACAUUUUUCAAUAUUUCCAUCACCAUGUGUAGCUAACACCCAUGGCUAUGAUAUUCAGAGCUCACAUCAGACUUAAUUUGGUGAUAAUUUCAUCAAGACAUUGAGAAAACACCACAUGUACAGCAGAUACCUCACCGGGUUGAUGGAUGGUUAUUGGAGUGAUGUAGUGGUGGUUGGCAUGAAGAUUAGGCUGCUGGGGGCUCCCUGAAGCUGGAACGGACAGGCCAAGUACAUCUUCCCUGCCUCACUGCUUUGAAACUUGCUCCCAAGGUGCCAAUCGUCCGUUCUCUUUUCCUUCCUUGGUGCCUUAUUUGAUUUUGCUUCUAAUGUAUGUGCUGAAAAUUUCUUUUUUAGGUCAUAGCAUGAAAGAAGUGUGUCGUCAUUGCCAUUUCCUGUUACAGCAUGCUGGCAUUACUCACAAAGUCAAUUGCUGUUGACCCUCUUAACAAUGUAUCCAAUCUUCAGGCCACGAAAAAGAUGGAAGGUGUCCCAGUACAAGUUUAUGGCUUUCUCUAACUCAUUCUCUUUCAAUCUGCUUAGGGCAAGGUCGAACCGGUGGUCUACUUCCUCAAGGAACCAUGAUGUUUUCAGGGAGGACUGUGGCCGUUUCUCCUCCUCAACCAGGUUUUUCAGGAGAGCACUGGUCACUCUACUAAAGACGUGCAUGGCAGGUUGGACACUGAAAUGGGAGUGGGUUGGCGGUCAUGAAGGAUAAAUGGGUAUGUACGGUUGUUCCUGUGUUAAUGGCCGUUUGCAUCAGGAACGAUAACUAUAAUGAUAAGUGUCCUCACUGAUCAAUUAAGAAAAGUCUCUCCUUGAAUAUGAUAGCUAAAAUUUGAUGGAUUUUGGUUGGCUGUCAGCUUUGUAUUGUUCUCAACAUCGUUUGGAAAGUGAUCCCCAACAACAUCUUUCUUCAUGUUAUCGUUACAGUUUAUGUGUGGAUGUAAGGUGGUCGGCCGUGUGUGGUGGGUCUUGCUGGAGAUGGCCUCUUGCUUUGGUUUAUGGUUAUGACUUAAUGUGGCAGCUGUAAAUGUGUUGUUCCAGGUAUAAACUGAAUGUUACCCGCUCUGUUCUCCCUCCAUUCUCCACUGUGCCUGUUCUGCUUACCUAGGACCAAGGAUGCUGAGGACGAGAAAGGUGUGCGGUAGGAUGAACAGCCUUCAGCUUCAACAUCACCCCUAACACUCCUGGCUCCAUCAAACGUGCUGCAUCCUCCUUAGCUUGUCCCUUUUAUAGGUGUGCAGAGUUUAUAGACAGCUACCCAUCCUUUCCACAUUGUGCAUUUUCUGUUGUUCACACACACACUUCAGACAUUAGGAACUGAAAUCUUUUUUGAAAAUAUAAAUGAGUGUCAAACCUCCUUUCUAUGUUGCAGUCCCACCACACCUCCCUUCUGGUAUUUUUGUUGGUUUUCCCCCUAGUUUUUUUGUUAACACACACUUGUUUCACACAUUGAAAAAUGAAUAAAAUAUCUAAAAUGUA